CAAUAGCGUAUAUUAAAGUUGUUGCAGUUAGAACGCUCGUAGUCGGAUUUCGGGGCGGGCCGACCGGUCUGCCGAUGGGUAUGCACUGGUCGGCGCGUCCUUCCUUCCGGAGACCGUCCCUACUCUUAACUGAGCGGGGGCGGGAGACGGGACUUUUACUUUGAAAAAAUCAGAGUGUUUCAAGCAGGCAGCUCGCCCUUGCAUGGAUUAGCAUGGGAUAAUGAAAUAGGACUUUGGUGCUAUUUUGUUGGUUUCGAACACCGAAGUAAUGAUGAGAAGGGACAGUCAGGGGCACUCGUAUUCCGCCGAGAGAGGUGAAAUUCUCAGACCAGCGGAAGACGAACCACUGCGAAAGCAUUUGCCAGGGAUGUUUUCACUGA
rnacentral:rRNA from 1 species